GUUAGUAGCCUUCUUAUAAAGCAUUCUUUAUAAAUAACUAUCAAAUAUCUUUUUUUUUAGGCUAAAUUUGUUCUGGACUGCGUAUAAAACAAAAAAAAUGUUAGUGGUAAUUAGCCCAGUAUUUUCAGCAGACAGUUUGCCCUUUCGAGAUCAAAUAAACUCGUGGGUUUAGAUACACUAAAAACAAACACUAAGGGCAGGUCGUGCUGCUUUUAUUAACAAGUGUUUCACCAAGAUAUGCAAAGUACACUCUUAAAAAUGAUUCACUGCCUCUACUCCCAAAAAUGCAUUAAGUUUUUGAGUAGCCUAUUACCUAAAUGCUGUGAACCUAUGGGUCAUUUUCAGUCUAACACAUUUAGUUUAAGUACAAACAAUGUGGGUUUCCUCCACGUUUAAAAACCUAAUUAGGUUUAACUUGCAAAUGUUCAUGGUCAUAUUCAUGGAGAUAUUUAGCUAAGUAAUCAACUUAGGGUUAAGUUGUUUCACAUAGGAAUCUUUCUAAAAUUUCGAUUGAAUAUAUCAAAUUUAUUUCUGCUUUAAUGUUUUUUGUGGAGAUUACCCUUUUUCAAGAAAUCAAGAUAAAAAAGCAAUGAUAAUUUCACCUUUUGUAUUUUUUUAAUGGGUAAACUGUGUAGCCUAUAUUUAUGACGCAGUGGUCUACAACAGAUCUGAGUUUCUUACAACGUAGAUGUAGCGAAGAAACUAAGCAGGAACUGAAUUAGCUUUAUCCGGGUGAGAUGUUUACGCUAACUUUUUAAGAUGAGUUCAUCUUUAUCAGAGCGGCUAGCCAGUCUACUUAGCGGAUCGCUACACGACUCCCGACCCCCUGUCCAAGCGGGAAUUGAACUCGGCCUUGAUGACUUCACCUUAAGUUAAGUGGUUACGCGCAGCUGCCUCCCAACCAGAUAGACCCAUGUUCAAUUCCUGCCUGCUCCUUGCAGAACUCGUGUUGUAACAAACUCAAUAUCGGUGUCACAGACUUACAAAUUAACCAAUUAAAAUAAAAGGGUGAAAUUAUCUAAAUGACUGCUUUUUUUUUUUUUUACCGCUUUCUUGAUUUCUCGGAAAAAGGUAAAUUAUACAAACAUGUUGAAGGAACAAUUUGCAAAAGAUUUGAGUAAAUAAAGAUUGCUAGUUGAAUUACUAGGUGAUUACAAGUUCAUUCUUAUUAUUAGUUCAAUAUCUUGAUGAAUAUGACCAUGCAUAAAGCAGGUUAAACCUAAUUAGGCGUUUAAAUAUGAAGGAAGCCCACAUUGGUAGUGCUUAAACUAGCUGUGUAGUCAAAGAUAGGCUCAUCUUAAAAAUACUGAAUAUAAUUUGAAAUUACUCAUAAACCACAAUGUGUCUGGUUGCCUCUUUUUUAAAGCAGAGGCAGUGAAUCGCGUAGCCGUGACCAAAGUUGCCAAGCUAGUUCACAAAGAGGAUUGCCAGAUUCCCGAUUUUUAAAAUGUUUUUUUAUUUAUUUAUUUUUAUUUGUAGCUACCGGUACGGUUUGUCCACAUUUGUAAAUUCCAUGUUCUGUCUCCAGCGUCCCAUACCCGUCCUCCCCCGGUGUGCGAUCGGUUCCGACAGAACCCCAUAAACCCCAGCUUGUUAUUUUGUGUGAGGCAAGACUGCCAGUGUCGUUUCUUGUAACUUGGCGUAAUUUUGAUUACUUACUACCUUUUAAAAAUACUUUUAAUGGCUGGCCAAAUUAAUCAAUUUGAAUUAAUAACUAAUAGACUGUCCUUUGUACGUGUGAGUAACUUGGCAUUUCUGUACGUUGAAAGCGUGUUUUUCAUCAGAGUAAUUUAUUGUAAUUUUACUUACAUCUGACAAAGGACAUGAAGGCAGGAAAAAUAAAAACAACAGAGCAACAAUUGCUUUUAGUGUCAACCUAAACGAAGAAAAAUCAAUCGGUCCAGAACGUGUAAACAAAGCUGUGUGGUUGGAAAUGUCGUUCGAUUAUUGGUCAAAGUGCUGGCGUAUAAAAAUACAACAAAACCCUCGCAGUUUCUGCCUGUACUUUAUUACGUGGAGCACCGCCAGGUUAUAUUCACGUUGGUGUUGAUUUGGAGUGCACCUCGUUAGACCGCGCAAAAGAAAGUCUGUCCAGAAUGCGUAAAUUAAAUAAUUUAAUAAUACAGGUAUUACGAGAAAGACGGUCUGCAAGCAGACGAUAUCACAGAAGAAGGCUGGCUGUGAUGAGAUCCUUCCAUGACAAAUCUCACUUUGUCGGGAGUCUAGCGAUGCAGCUCAAACCAAACAGAUUUGCCAAGAACACCGCAGCGGCCCUCCAUGACCCCUAAACCAGCUCCUCAGCCUGGGCACGUGGUUCCCAGGGCCUGGGAGUAGCUGGUGGUGUGCCAGUACGCCACAGGUCGGAAUCACCACGGUUCAGCCAACGGCGACUUCGGGAAGGGUGGCGCCUGGGUUGAAGGAGGGUCCUGAUUGGCCGGCGCCUGGGAGGGGGCAGGGAUUCUCACCCCCCAUCUGGAUGGAGCGUAAAAGAAAGACUGUAAAAAACAGAAGUGAUUAUAUGCCAUUACAUGUUUAACUCACUGAUCUGGAGCCUAAAAGAAGAAAAGAAGAGUGACCCUCUUAUGUGAUAUUUAUAAUUCCCUGAUAUAUGUGUUCUAUUUCUGAACAUAUGUUAAGCUACCUUUCAAGAGGCGACGUCUGAUAGAAAGCCUAUUAGCUAAAUAAAAUGUUCCUUAUAAAGAUGGUUACCUCGCGGUUGUGCAUGCCAUCAAAAACUAUGCAUAAUACCCUGAAAUGUUUUGCAGAUAUUUUACUUGAUGUAUUAUAACAGACUUGCGUAUGGAGGAGCUUAUUUAUUUAUUUUUCUUUUAGUUAGAAGAAAAGUUCUCCGUAAAAUAAAAUGGCGAGUCCCAGUCCUGACCAAGACACUCCCACGAGGAGACCAAAUUGGAAAUACAUUGCAGUACUGAUCGUUUUCUUCAUCGUUAACAUCGCUGUGUACAGCCUGACCUCAAACCCCACCAAGGGCUUGAAACAGCCGAUGCCUAGGCCGGCCUCUCACCUAGAACCUUUGCCAACCGCCCCAGGGUUUUGUCCUUUCCCUGCCCAGAGAGACCCGCUGGUCAGCGUGAGCGGCGCCCGGUCGUACGUGGUGGCGCCCUACGUGGAGCACCGGGGCGGAGGCAGGCAGAUCCGGGCCAUCUCCAUCGUCUACCGACCCGAGCCCGACAACUACCAGUGCCUCCUGUGCUGCGGGGGGCGCAAUUUCUCCGUCUCCGCCUCCCGCAACGUGCACAGCGACCACUUCGGCUUCGACUACUGCGCCGGGGACAUCUUCUGCCCGGUGGCGAGCGGCUGCGCCGAGCCGGAGCACGUGGCCAUCUUCUCCAGGGGCCAGCACCAGGAGCCCGCCUUCUUCCCCGUCCAGAACCGGGAGCUCAGGACCGGCGGCUUCAAAUACAACUUCACCGUCUGCAUCUCCACCAUGUACGGGAACUACAGCAACCUCCUGCAGGUGGUGCAGUCCAUGGAGAUGUACCGCCUGCUGGGGGUCGGGCGGGUGGCGGUGUACAAAAACAGCUGCAGCCCGGAGGUGGAGAGAGCGCUGGAUUACUACGAGGCCCAGGGCUUAGUGGAGGUGGUGCCCUGGCCCGUGACCUCCUUCAUUAACGUCUCCCCGGGCUGGCGGAAGUCUGCCUCCCCGGGGGACCUGCACUACUACGGGCAGAUCCCUGCGCUGAACGACUGCCUGUACCGAUACAUGUACAGGACCAAGUACGUGGCCUUGCACGACAUCGACGAGCUCAUCCUGCCUCAGCGCGUGGACGACUGGAACCAGCUUCUGGUGCGCCUGGAACAGAGGUAUUCCGCCGACAGAGGCUUCGAGUUUGAGAACCACGUUUUCCCCGUCUCCGUGUCGGACCAGAUCGACAAGUACAGACCCCGGGAGUGGGAGAAAGUCAAGGGGGUCAACGUGCUGGAGCACGUUUUCCGGGAGCCCAACAUCCCCAAUCGCUUCAACAACUUCAAAGUGAUCGCCAACCCCCGCCUGGUGUUCGAGACGACCGUGCACGGCUUCCUGCGCUCGAUGCACGGGACCGUGCGCGUGGACCGCGACGAGGCCCACCUGUACCACGUCAAGAAAGGUGCCAGGCCCGAACUGAGCCCGUCUGACCUCAUAAGGGACGAUCGAGUCAGGCACUACGCCCCGCGGCUGGUGCCAGCCGUCUCAAAAGCGCUGAAACACAUCAGCAACUCGGUAGAAUAAGACUGCCUGGAUUCAGUCAACACGCCUCCUUCGUUCACUCUUGAGUUACGGAACUGGGCUGGCGUGUGUUGGUUCGCCCUCUUUGACUGUGGAUGUGGUUGAAGAACUGACUGUCUCAAAAGAAGCGUUGUUUGUCCACCAAAUGUGAUUUCUUUCUCACUUGCACUAUGAUGAUUUUGAAGGUUAUGUGGGUGUAUGCCGUCCAAAGUGCUCCUUUGUUACUGUAUAUGCAAAAUGAAAUAUUUCUUAGUUUAAUGCCAUCAUCUAUGGCAGCAUUGCAUAGCUUAUGCAUACUCAGUUUAAACCACUGGAUAUUUGCUGAAACUAUUCAGGUUUGGUGCUUAGGUGGUACCAGUGCAGUACUCUUCCUAAGAUUGUUACCUACAGACAUCUGUUAUUAAGCACUGCUCAAUUACGAUUGCCAGUGUGAAGAUUUUCUAUUCUAACCAGAUGGCCUUGUCUGUAUACUGUCUCUGUUAAUGCGGAGGCCCAAAGUGCUUUACUUUUCUGACAUAUUAUGAAUGUUCAUAAUAUUCUGUAUUCUUUCAAUAUGAAGGGGUAUGAAGAUUAUAUAUCUGGUUUGUAUGUAUAAUAGGUUAUAUGUGGCUACACUGUGGACUGUCUUUGAUGCUGUGUUGUUGUGAUUUUCAAAGGGAACAUUUAUAAUGUCCUGUUUGCACGUACAAAUACAAGUGUCUUGAUUCUAAGCAACGUCCAAUCUAAAGAAGGUUUUACUAUAAAGAACAUUAAUAUAUUCUGCAGAUUGUAUAAGCGCCUUAAUCGACUCUUGCUGAAAAGCUGUUAUUUUGUAAUUUAUACAGAUUUUAAAGAAAAUGGUUUUGUAUGUGGGAAAUGUAAGGGGAAAUGUACUGUACAGCAUGCAUUGUUUGGAAGUAAGUCCCAACAGGGUGAUAUGGCCCCUAUGCAAAGUGAAUUGGUCUUAAUCGCCCUGAGAGUGACCCUGUAGGGAUGGGGCAGGGUGGGCUGGGGGGGCACGACCACCUAUAUGGCAUCCUGGCCCUCCCAUUCACCCUGGCUGAACCACCACACCCAAUUGUGAAUGCCCACCUGGGCAGUUCAAUGCAGACCCAGCUGUAUGAGUAUUUUUGGCUAUGCUGCUACCCUGACUGGGCUUAUUUUGGAACCACUGGCAAGCUCACUGUACAUCAUCAUUUGUACACUGUGGCUGCUUGCCAAAUAAAUUCAUUAACUGGCACGAAAUCAUCAUUUAAUUGAUUAUGCAUAUUUGUGCACAAGGGAAGUUCCAGCAAACAACAAUGGUUGUCACUAUAUUAGCAACCGCAAACAAAUUAGUGAGAGACAUUUCAAAUGUCACACCGCUGACAAAAUUUACGAACAUUAAAUGGAAGAUUCCUGUUUAUAGGAUAGUGCUUCACGUUGAAAGGGCAUUUUUUUGGGGUGAUGUCUCAACUGCUCCUUCUGCAUUUUCCUCCUUUCAGUUUGAGGUUUUUCCAUAAAGCUUACUUUGUUUUUUUACCAACAGGGGAGAAUACAUUCUAACUGGUGUGACUAGCUAUGUAGCGAGAUAUCAACGUAUUGGAAUAACUGCCAUUAUAAUGAUAGAAUGACAGCUUUUUGCAGUAAUGAAUGCUAAUUGGCCAAUCAGAACUGACUGCUCAACAAAGCUGUGGUAUAAACACAAUCAAAGUAGUAAACUCAAGAAACAAACUGCCUGCACCUUUCUGGUGACAUCACUGCUUUAAAAUGGGAAUAAAUCUUGUAAAUUCUUGUAAAAUCUUGUAAUUUGCCUGCUCUUUAAAUAAAAUGCUACAAUCUUGGGAACAUUAUCGCUUGUUAUAUUAUCUCUAUUUUACAUUGUUUUAUCACAACAUAAUAUUUCAAAUAAAUUUUAAAAAAACUGUAGUAGGCUGAACUGUUCAUAGGUAGCACGUCUCCCUUCAAAACACCCUGUCUGGGUGAAAGCAAACGUGACAAUUAUGCAUAUUGGGAAAGUUUACCCCAAUGUUCUGGGAGCCAAAACUCGUUUGCUGGGUUUAUACAAUGCAUUUUGGUAGCUAAUUUGUAAUCUUUUCUUUUAAUUUGGUAGGCACUUGUAAAUUAGUAUGUCUGUUUCAUACUUUUAAGUACUAUGAGUAAGUUUGUAUCAUGUUUGAACUGAAACAUGCUGUGUAAAUUUAGGAGACAAGUACACAUGAGGAACUUGGUGUGCUGUGUCUCAACAUGACAUGAUUAUCCAUUCAUUUAUUUAAUCUCACCUGGAUUAUUGUAAAUCCCUCGUCACAUGACUCAGAAGGACCAUCUACGAUUGGUCCGGAAUGCCGCUUUCAAGCUUCUAACCAGGUGCAGCAGAAGGGCUCAUAUCCCACAGAUAAUUGCUUUAUUACACUGGCUUCCCAUCAAAGUUAAAAUUUAAUUUAAAAUUCUUGUGAUUCCAUCUUUACACCACCAGUAAGUAUGUCUCUUGGGUCCUCUGACCUAGGAUUGCUGGAUGUCCCUAGGUCAAACUGAAUUUGAUUGAACAUUCAAAACCGUUGCUCCCAAACUCUGGAACUCCCUCCCUUUGUACAUAAGACCUGUGCUUACUGUUGACACCUUUAAAAAGUCCCACCUGUUCAAACUUUCUGGCCUUCUUUUUUUUUAGUUCUGUUUUACGUGUGCCUGUUACUGUUUGUUUUUAAGAUUAUAUUGUUUUCAUUUAUUGCUUGUGAAGCACUUUGUUAUUCCACUCUAACGAGGUGCUAUACCAAUAAAGUUUUACUAAUUUA